UUCGUGAGAUGUUGGGUUAAUUCCCGCAACGAGUGCAACCUUUGUCCCUAGUGCCCACGCAAGGGCACUCUAGGGAGACUCCCGGUGACAAACCGGAGGAAGGUGGGGAUGACGUCAAGUCCUCAUGGCCCUUAUGGGUAGGGCUUCACUCGUCACACAAUGGACGGUACAGAGGGUUGCCAACCCGCGAGGGGGGGCCAAUCCCAGAAAGCCGUUCGUAGUCCGGAUUGCAGUCUGCAACUCGACUGCAAGAAGUCGGAAUCGCUAGUAAUCGCGGAUCAGCAUGUCGCGGUGAAUACGUUCCCGGGUGUUGUACACACCGCCCGUCACACCAUGGGAGCGGGAUGUACCAGAAGUAGGUAGGUUAACCGCAAGGGGGCCGCUUACCACGGUGCGUUUGGUGACUGUGGGUGAAGUCGUAACAAGGUAA
rnacentral:rRNA from 1 species